ACUACGGGGGGCUGCAGUGGGGAAUAUUGGGCAAUGGGCGCAAGCCUGACCCAGCAACGCCGCGUGAAGGAAGAAGGCUUUCGGGUUGUAAACUUCUUUUGACAGGGAAGAGUAGAAGACGGUACCUGUCGAAUAAGCCACGGCGAACUAAGUGCCAGCAGCCGCGGUAAUAGGUGUGGGGCAAGCGUUGUCCGGAUUUACUGGGUGUAAAGGGCGGGGAGCCGGGUUGACAAUGCAGAUGUGAAAUCCUGCGCCUUAACCGAAGACUUGCAUUGAAACUGUUGAUCUUGAGUACUGGAGAGGCAGACGGAAUUCCUAGUGUAGCGGUGAAAUGCGUAGAUAUUAGGAGGAACACCAGUGGCGAAGGCGGUCUGCUGGACAGCAACUGACGAUGAGGCGCGAAAGCGUGGGGAGCAAACAGGAUUAGAUACCCUAGUAGUC
rnacentral:rRNA from 1 species